GAGUGGCGAACGGGUGAGUAACAUAUCGGAACGUAUCCAAUAAUGGGGGAUAACGCAGCGAAAGCUGUGCUAAUACCGCAUACGAUCUACGGAUGAAAGCGGGGGACCGUAAGGCCUCGCGCGAUUGGAGCGGCCGAUAUCAGAUUAGGUAGUUGGUGGGGUAAAGGCUCACCAAGCCAACGAUCUGUAGCUGGUCUGAGAGGACGACCAGCCACACUGGAACUGAGACACGGUCCAGACUCC
rnacentral:rRNA from 1 species